ensembl:lncRNA
CUUUUCUCCCCGCCGUGGUCCGUAGGCCUUGGCAAGCGUCUCCUGGCGCCGCUGGGUUUCGAGCGGCGGCCACGUUUCAGACGUUGCUGCCAAGUGGAGAAAGUGAAGCGAUUGGUCACGCGUCCCCUCACGAGCACCGUGUGGAAGCCCUCCGGCAAAGCCCGCAGCCCGAGGGCGCGGGGACGGACCCCUGCCUGAGGCCCCAGAGUGUCACUGGGCUGCCGGCCAUUGGGGCGAGAGAGAAGGGACGCGGUCUGAGAUGAUGAUGCCCCUCUGUAUGAUGGUUGAUUCCCUCAUUGGCAGCCCCUGAGUCCUGCACUGCUCCAUAUGCUACAACUCUGAGGAAGAAUCAGAAAAGCUCCAUACUGAGCAACACUGAGUUCCAGGGUCAGAGAUUUCAAAUGGAUCAAUACCUGCUAUCAUUUUGAACUAUAGCUGGGACCUAUUGCUAGUAUCUCUCCAUGAUUAAAGGUAGCGCAUCUUCAUUCUUCUGUGGUUUUCAAGUGUAUCAUAUUUUUCUUUGUUUUAGAAGGUUUCAGUAGGUCUCAGAAUCACAUGGCUCUAACAAAAAUGCAUGCAUUACAAGUUAAGUGGUUCACUGCAUUGUUGAUCUUUCAGCAAAGGAGCAGGUAGCUCAUAGAACAAAAGAGCUGAGUAAG